rnacentral:tRNA from 4 species
GCUCGCUUGGUGUAGUGGAUUAUCACGUCGUUCUUAUAUUACAGCUUAACAAACUGUAAAUAUGGUGAAAUGCGAAGGUCACCGGUUCGACCCCGGUAGUGAGCA